rnacentral:snRNA from 1 species
UGAGGUAAGUACAAUGACUUCUUCCCUACUUCCUAUUCGAUAUGUGUUCCUUUCAAAGCUGCAGGCUUGGUCAGAAAGAUGACCUUCCCCAAGAGUGAAAGUCCGUUUUUGGUCAAGAGUUUGUGUGUAGUUGUGCUCCUCUGUUAGAGGACCCAAUAGAUUGUCGAGGUUUAGCUGUCUGACAGUUACAGAGGGAUAGAAGAUUCAGUCUGUCCUAAGCUGAACUCACAAUCUU